AGGAAUUAAAAUUAUACCCGACUAUUUAUUAUAUUUAUUUAAUGGGAUUCAUGUCUUCUCUUAAAGACUAGGACACUGUAUUUAUAAUUUGCAAGUGAAACUAAAUUAGCCUGGUCCGGGCAGAGGACUGGACUGGGGAAGAGCUGGGGUCCGUCUGAAGGCAGCCACCGACUUCCUGUGACUUUGCCCCUGGAGGCCCCAGGCAGGAUGAGGUGGAGGCCAGGCUCUGGCCAUGUCUGAUCGUCCGUGAGCCCGAGUUCUAACUUGAGCGUUACUAGCACGGACCUCGUCACGGAUUUCCACUCUCAGAGGCGUGGCCCAUCCCAGUUAGCAUCUAGCACCGCUCUGUGUGGGGCCGCUGCGUGUGGAGGGAACAUACGCUCGCGGAUAUGUCACAGCGGGUUCCCUUUACUCCCCGCCAUCCCCAGACUUCGGCUCCAGGGAGGCCCCAGGCUCCAGGAGGGCCGGGAAGGGCAGAGUGGAAGUGAGGCACAGGUGAGUGGAGUGGGGCCGGGGCUCCGGGGCUCCACGGGGGUGCGGACGCUGGUGGGGUUGGGGCCGCGGCCACGCAGGCACCCCGGGGAGGGGGGGGGGGACGUGUCCCUGGUGCUGCUCUGCCCCCUGUUCCCCACCCCUCCAGGUCUUCGGGCGGGUGGGAGGAAGAGGAAUUGGAGGAGGGCCAGGAGGAGAGAGAGGACCAGGCCCCACCGGAUGUCCCCCCCGCGUCUUGGGCACAGAGGCUGGAGUGUCCAGGAUCCGGGGCCCAUCUCCCGCUCGGAGGCCAAGGCCCCCUCCGAAUGGAGCAUCCUGGCUUUCUGGUCCCCAGUGGCCCCCAAGUCGAUAGGUCGCCCGGAUGGCCCAGGGAAACCCCAAGCAGGAACCCUCAGAGGAGACUCACCAAGUCUGGCUUCUGUACGAUCAUGUGACUCCACUCUGCUGGCCCGGAACGCGGCCUCUGUGCUUCCUCCGCAACACUCAAACGUUCCGGGUUUCUGGGACGAAGCCUCUUCCCGGGGAUUCAGCGCUGCAUGGACACGUGAUGUGCCACCAUCGACAGAUGGCUGCUGUGCACACUGAACAAGGGCUUGACGGUCUCGGCACUGAGAUGUUCAGUUGCUCCUCGCUGGAAGUUUGGGGCUCAGGGGGCUAAAGGAGAGGAACAUGGACAGUGAAUUUCCUUCUGGAUCCAAACCUCAUGAUUGCUAAGGCCCUUGCCAGUUCCAAAAGCUGUGACAUGUUGGCCAAGAGGCUUUGCAGUCCCUGACGUCUCCAGACGUCUAUUUUCUCGAAUGGGAAAUGGGGAUAUAGCCUGAGAGAGGACACCUCUGAACGCACUGCUGCACCGUCGCGGGUUUGGGAGGCAGCCCCGCAGGCCUGUGGGACAGCCGCGAUGAGCGGUCACACGGCGGUCACACAGGGCACAAACCACACGGUGCUUCCUCCUGCAGUCCUCACAGUGGAUGACCCCCUUUCCCAGAUGCGGAAAAGACAGCACCAGGGUUAAUGAGUUUGUCCUCUCAGGCUACACCCCUAGGCAGUGGGGAAGCCGGGACUCAAACCCAGGCCGUCAACACCUUCUAGAACGCGGUGCAGUUCCGCGCCUCCACCCCCGCCCCGGUCAUGCUGGUGCUUACCAAGAGCUGACCGUGUUGGUACCAAAUGUGCUUAUGCUGGCGUAUGUGUUAUUGCAAUUUGUCAUUUAAUUAAAUAUCAUGCAAACUGGUGAACCAAGUGUGAAAACAGCACCGUUUCUAUGAAAAACUGAGUCGAAUCCUUAGAAGUCUUGAUUAGGUGACUCAAUUCAAAAACUACUAUUGAAUUAGAUGGGACCAAGACAGUUAUCACAUUUGGCUGCAAAAUAAUAAAAGUCUAGAUGAGUUUUGCACUUAGAUUGCUUCAACCACGCCACUCGCUGUUCCGCCCCCCCCGUGAGCAAACUGGAAAUCGCAGGUGGUCCAUUUAUGCGCGAAGGAUGAAGAAGUCAGCCGCGGCCUGUUCUCCAAGAAGAGACCCUGGCCACACUUUGACAGACGCAGAUGAAUGUAUUUUUUUGUUUUAAGUUGAAAUAAAAGAACCCAUUUCAGGUCGUGUCAGAGAAGAGGGUUUCCACUACACCGUGAAACUCCUCACCGUGAGAUUUGGAGGAUUCGUUAAAAAUAUCUGCCGAGGGCCUACCAUAUGCCCAGCAUGCCACGAGCUGCUGAGGACACUGGGGACACGGCCGCUCACCUUUCCUAUUGUCUCGUCAGGUGUUGGGGGUGUCUUGAUUUGGAUGCAGGUUCACCAGCUGUAACAGAGUCAAUGUAAUCUACCAUUUAUUUAUUUAUGAGAGAGAGAUGGGGGGGGAGAGAGAGAGAGAGAGAGAGAGAGAGGAGAGAGAGAGAGAGAAUCCCAAGCAGGCUCUGCAAGGCCAGCCACGGGGCUCGACCCACGAACUGUGAGAUCAUGACCUGAGCUGAAUCGAGAGCAGGACGCUUAACCGACCGAGCCACCCAGGAGCCCCGUAACUGUGCCUUUAAACAGAGAGAACUUUACUCCUGUCUCACGUAAGCAGUCCCCAUGGAGGCGGUGGCUUCCUGGAGCUCAGGGAGUCAGGCAGGACGCUCUGCUGUCCCCAACACAGCAUUCCCAUGCCAUGUCCUAAACUGGCUGCCCCACCCGCGGCAUAGCACCUUCAUUCCUGCCGGUAAGAAGGAAAAAGGAGUGGAGGAAAACCUGCGUUUUUUCCAAGGUGCCGUCUGGCAGUUUCAAGUCAUUUCUGCUCGGACCUCAUUGGUCAGAGUUUAGUCACAUGUACGUGCCCGGCUGCUGCAAGGGAGACUGGAAAAUGUAGUGUGUAGCCGGGCAGCCGUGUGGCCACAUAAACUCCGGGGUUCUGUUGCCGAAGGAAGAAAGGAGAGUGGAUUUGAGGGGACAAGCAGCGGCAGCUGCCACACGGGAGUAUCACCACGGGGUCAGGCCAAGCCCAUGUCAACCGUCACUGACUCUACUACUGAAUAGCUGUAUUAUCUUAGGAAAAUGACUUCUCUCUGUGCUAGUCAAUGUCCUCAUCUAAAACACGAGGAUAAAAAUGCAUCGUAGGAUCGACAGGGUGAAAUGUGUAAGCAUCCGGAACUCAGGAGUGCUCGAUCCAUGAGCCUUUAAUAAAUUGGUUUUGAAGGCAUUUCUCAAAGAAAACUCUAGAAGCCUGGA
ensembl:lncRNA